rnacentral:rRNA from 1 species
AAAAGAAAAAGAAUUCGCAUCUCGGCGCGAGAAUACAAAGUGUGCCCUCGAGGAAUAGGUUCUAGGUAGACAGAUCUAGGACCACGCUAAAGCCCAGAGCCCGACACCAGCUGCCAUGGCAGGAGGAACUGGAGGAGCUGGGGGAGGAACAGGGGGAGGGGACUCGUUGGCUCGCAGGGCCUGGAGGCAGUACCUGCUCCAGCUGCAGCGCCACCCACUCCGCACCAAGGUCUUCGCCUUUUGUUGCAGUUUUCACUGGAUUUGAUUGAUUGGUUUGGGGAAUUUUCUAAGCCUCGGUUAAGUUGGCUAGUGCAGAUGAUCACUGCGGGGUGCCUCGCAGGCGUCAGCGACUCCGUGGCGCAGAAGCUCUCUGGAUAUCAGAAGAUUGAGAAGCGCCGCCUCCUGCUCAAGAUGAUAUUUGGGUUUGCAUAUGGUGGCCCAUUUGGGCAUUUCCUGCAUAAAGUGUUGGAUUAUAUCUUUAAAGGGAAGAAGGAUACCAAAACUGUAGCUAAGAAGGUAUAACUUUGACCAUCUUAGAGCAUCUGCAACCGGACCCCCAACUUUCCCCCUAUAUGUCUGCUGGGGAGACAGCCCGGUCAUGAGAGAGAAGGAAAAAAGUCACCCAACCAGGCCCCUCAAAUUGUCCUCAUGUGUCCGGGUUGUCCACGAACCCUCAUAUCCAGCCCAUAUGCGGGGAGGAUAUGAGGGUGCUCGGGCGUGUCCGGGCAGUCCAGGUUGGAUUUGGCCCACCACGAACCACUUUUUCUCUUUGUUUAUUCUUUCUUUUCUGACGCGUCCGCGGAAGUAUAGGGCGUCAAAUUAGCUCAGUCCGGUUGUAGAUGCUCUUAUAAUCAACACCAUUGUUCACUUCUUUCUUGUGGUGGCCAUGUAUAAAAAAGUUCUGCUGCCAAUGAUAGUGCACAUAUAAGUAAAGCACAGUACAUCCUGGCAUUGCAAAUGUUUGACUUUAGGGUGUGUUUGGUUUGGGAACGAAGUGGAAUGGAAUGUCAUGGUUCCAUUCCACUAGAAUGGGUUGGUUCCGUCCUUGUGUUUGGUAGAGCCAAUUCGAAGGAAUGGAACGGUUACAUUUCGGUGUUUGGUUUUAGAGAGCGAAACGGAAUGGAUUUCUUCAUAUCUGUUGUUUUCUUGUGAUUAUGUACAAUAUAACUUUGACAUCAAACACAAACAAGACGCAUAUAUGGAGGUAAAAGGAAAUCAUCAACACAGCAAUUCUUUCAAGCAAAUGAUGGUAUAUGCCCAAAACAAGUGAUACAUAUUUGCCUGUCAGCCAUUAGCAACAAUUAGCCGUAGAACUUCAUCAAUUUUCUGUCAUCUACACAUAAAACAUCAAAUUCAGUGGGAAGACAGCAGGAGCAGCACGACACACAACAAGAAUUGUAGCAGUUGCAUGCCAUGAGCAGCACUUGCAGGACGCACGCAAGGGCCAGCUAGGAGCAGCACGCACGCACGACACACGCGGGGCUGCCGCCGGCAAGGAAAGCAGCAGCGCCAUGAGUGUGACUGUGGGGGUAGAUGAGCGGGAGAGAGGAUCCAUAGGCAACCGGAGAUGGCCGUUGCCGUCGCUGGACCUUGACGGAUCUGACGGGAAGGGAAGGGGAGGGGACGACCAUGAUCCGGUCGUCGCCACCAGCGUCAGCGGCAAGUGUGCCGGCGGCGAGUCUGGGAGCAUGGCUUCGUACCGAUCCGCCGUCGCUCGCCUGCUUCCAGCCGCCUCCCUGUGCUUGCCGGAUGUGAGAGAGAUACGAGAGAGAGAUAAGCGGGGCGCUCAGGGAGCCAUUCCGCGUCGUCCGCUUUAUUUGGAGAGACGACUCGGUUCCGCAUAAAGAGAGAAUAUGUCGUUCCCAGGAAUCGGUGCGUUCUUGUCAUUGGACAAUCUAAACACGGGAAUGAGCCCCAGGGAUGGAACCGACCUGUGCCGUUCCACUUCGUGACAGAAACCAAACACACCCUUAGUUUCCCGCAAAAAAAAGUGUGAAUUUACCAUACUAGUAAAGCAUCAGCAACUUAGUUAGUCUAUGAUGUCUGUUGCCAGCAAAUUUUCCCACAUCAUGAUUGAAGUCAAACAAGCACUGGUGGACAAUCUGUACUUGAUGGUAUGUUAGAAUGCUUUGAGAUGUUUCGUACUAUUUCCAGGUGUUGCUGGAGCAGAUCACUUCCUCUCCCUGGAACAAUUUACUCUUCUUAUUCUAUUAUGGAUAUGUUGUUGAGAGUAAGUCUGUAAGUGUCAAAUAGUUUGAUUUUGUACCAACCGGAAGAGUUCCUUUGGCAUCAUACCAUGCCAACUGCCAAUGAUGAUUUGAAAUUUUACUUGCCAUCUUUCGAGUAUGUUACUUUGAUAUAGCAGGAGGUAUUAGCAUAGUAGAGUUUAGAAAACCGUUUACUGAACAAAACAUAAGAACCAGGCUUUUCUGUACUUUUCUCAGCUUGUUGGUCCAGAAUAUCCCUUUGAGUUUCUUUCCUCCUUCUAGUCAUGACGUUUGAAACAUACAGCAAACCUUAUUAAACAUAUUCCCCUUAAUAUUGGAGGUCAUAUAGAUCUAGGGUCCAAAGACCGAUCAAUUAUAUCUCUGUGUGACCGAGAUAUCUGUAAACUGGGGGAAUCAGUUUAAUCCUACCAGUUGCCUGAAUCAUGUAAUAGUGUUGUGUGUUCCAGUAAGAUGGUUGCCUUUAAAUCGAAUGGAAGUACUGAAUCUAUAGAUAUUUUGCCUGGUUAGUCUACUCCACUACGUAUUAUUUUUUGGGGGGAGGUCUACUCCACGCUCAUGGGUUAUUGACAAGUCGGAAUGCAGAGAGGCCUUUCAAGGAGGUGAAGACUAGGGUGAAGAAACAAUAUCUGUCAGUGCAAUUGUCUGCUUGGAUGUUUUGGCCAGUAGUUGGUUGGAUAAACCAUCAAUACGUGCCUUUGCAGUUUCGGGUGAUUGUCCACAGCUUUGUUGCAUGUUGCUGGGGGAUAUUUCUCAACCUUCGCGCCAGAGCCAUGUCUUUGAAGCAGUCAUAGACAGAUUUAGUGGGGGUAUAACACUGCUCCAUAAUGGUUCAAACUGGCCGGAGAACAAGGAUGCUGAUUGCUAUGUAAUAUACCGUUGAUUGUCCUAGGGUAUUUAAAUAGAAGGAUUUCGAUACUUGUUUGGUAUCAAGUUGCAGAUUUGUUUGUCAACGCAUGCGAGGCCGCUUAUCUGAUUUCUCUGUUGGUACUAUUUAAGCUUUGUGACUGAAACGUAAUUGAAUUAUAUUAACUAUGGAUAUAUUCGGUCUACUUUGGAGAGCAAAUAAUUGUUUUUUUUCAUGAGUGGAA